GGAGCUUGCUCCUCUGACGUUAGCGGCGGACGGGUGAGUAACACGUGGAUAACCUACCUAUAAGACUGGGAUAACUUCGGGAAACCGGAGCUAAUACCGGAUAAUAUAUUGAACCGCAUGGUUCAAUAGUGAAAGACGGUUUUGCUGUCACUUAUAGAUGGAUCCGCGCCGCAUUAGCUAGUUGGUAAGGUAACGGCUUACCAAGGCAACGAUGCGUGGCCGACCUGAGAGGGUGAUCGGCCACACUGGAACUGAGACACGGUCCAGACUCCUACGGGAGGCAGCAGUAGGGAAUCUUCCGCAAUGGGCGAAAGCUUGACGGAGCAACGCCGCGUGAGUGAUGAAGGUCUUCGGAUCGUAAAACUCUGUUAUUAGGGAAGAACAAAUGUGUAAGUAACUAUGCACGUCUUGACGGUACCUAAUCAGAAAGCCACGGCUAACUACGUGCCAGCAGCCGCGGUAAUACGUAGGUGGCAAGCGUUAUCCGGAAUUAUUGGGCGUAAAGCGCGCGUAGGCGGUUUUUUAAGUCUGAUGUGAAAGCCCACGGCUCAACCGUGGAGGGUCAUUGGAAACUGGAAAACUUGAGUGCAGAAGAGGAAAGUGGAAUUCCAUGUGUAGCGGUGAAAUGCGCAGAGAUAUGGAGGAACACCAGUGGCGAAGGCGACUUUCUGGUCUGUAACUGACGCUGAUGUGCGAAAGCGUGGGGAUCAAACAGGAUUAGAUACCCUGGUAGUCCACGCCGUAAACGAUGAGUGCUAAGUGUUAGGGGGUUUCCGCCCCUUAGUGCUGCAGCUAACGCAUUAAGCACUCCGCCUGGGGAGUACGACCGCAAGGUUG
rnacentral:rRNA from 1 species